AGAAAAUUUAGCUUAUAGAAAAGGAGAGAAAAGAUGGGAAAUUCUGAAUUCCUGCCCUCCGGGAUGGCCUGAGUUUUCUCUGCGUGGACGAGUGUCACGUCCCUCCCUCGGGUUCAGAGCUGGCCUGGUGGGCUCCUGUGCCACUCAGCCUGGCAGCAGCCACCGUGGCGGCCUAGACUGAGGGUACCCUGCGGAGAGGAAGCACGGACCUGGCGCCACACACGUCACAUGGUUCACCGGGUUUUAGAUUAUGCAUUGAAAUAUUUGGGGUGAAGUAAAAUACAGUGUGAAGAUCAGGGUUACCUAUUUACCAUUUUUUCUUGUCUUUCUUUUUCCUGUGUGAAGAGGGUGCUACCUUCUGAAGCCCAGGCCUUGCCGAACAGACUUAGGGGUGGUUUUUGAGAUAGGGUUUCACUGUAUAGCUCAGCCUGGCCUGGAACUCUCUGUGUAGCCCAGACUGGCCUUGAACUUGUGGCAGUCCUCCUGUUUCAGCCUCCUGAGUGCUGGGAUUACAGGCAUGCACCACUGUGCACCAGCUCCCAUUUUUGCUUUUUAAUGCAGCCUGUGUUGCUCAGGCCGGCCUAAAACUCCUGGGCUCAGGUGAUACUCUUGCCUCCGCUUCACAAGUCCCCAGAACUGUGGCUCUGCGCCGCCCUGCCUGCCUCUUUUACUGUUUGUAAUGUGACAAAGAUUCAGUCACUUUUGUAGUCAUGUGGCCAGCACUGCCCUGUGCAGUGUACAGUGCUGUGUGUAGCGCGCUCCUGAGUCCUCAGGUGGCACUGGGGGUGCUGCCCACACCCCUUCUGCUGCUCCCUGGGUGCUUGCAGCCUGAGCAUCAGCCUGGAUGGGAGAUGCUCUCUGCCCAGGCUGCCUGAGACCAGGCUGCCCGCGGAGCUGCACGCUCCACGUGUGGCAGUCCUCUUGAAGGCGUGGCACAGUGGCUGCUAGUCAGGGCCUCGAUUUCACCUUGUCUGACACCCGUCUCCAGCCUGCCUUCUGUCCUGGGAGUCCUGCGCACGUGUGGGGCACAGAGAGGCGUGGCCCUGUGUGGAGGCUGCUGGGGUGGAGAGCCAACAUCUGUCCCCCUCUGUGCAGCUGCCUUUUGUGGAGCGGGGCCUGGGCGCUCCCACAGCAGCCUGUCUCUUGGCCUGGCGGUCUUCUAAGGGAUAACCGGGUGACUCCGCAUCGCCCAGGUCUUCAGCGAUGCCAUUGCUGAACCCACCUGCCCCCCACACACCAUCCUCACUGCACCUCUUUCUCUGCUGUCCGUUUUCGCUCUCCUGUCCUCCUGGUUUGCUUCUGUGGGUGUGUGUGCUGCCGUGUCCCCACGGGGCAGUCUGGUUGGCCUUGGUGUGGCCUGAGCACAGAGCCACCUAUGACACGCAGUGGGCCCAGGGGAAGUUUUGCUGGUGGCCUCCAGGGUGGGCUCGGGCCAUAGCUCUGGCCACUACUGCCAGAGCUUCCGCCCAUGGCUGCUGAGGCUCUGCAGCCUGACCAGGGUCCUGUAGAGGCCUGGGCACUGUGGAGUGGGCCUGCAAGACGGUCAUACCUGGCUCAUCUCUGUCCUGUUGCCCUUGGAAUUCAGGCUCCAUGCUGGUGCACCCUUUCAGACCGCAUGGGAAGAAUUCUGAAUUGCUCUUGCCUCUCCUCGGAGGGACGGCGUGGCUACGUGGCAGAGGGGAAGUCUCCCCCUGCACUGGGCCAGUGGGCCACGCGCCCUGACCACGGCUGAGGCCAACCACGUCAGGCUGUCCUGCUUGGCCACGGGGCUGGCGCUGCUGAGGCGCUGCGUACUCAUGUGCAUGGUGCGCUGCCAUCCUUUCAUGCCAUCUUCAGGCCCCUCCGAGGCCUCCUCAAGGAGCACCAAGGAGCGGCGCAGCCACCCCCCAGAGCUGCAGGAGCUGGCCCAGAGCAUACUGACAGAUAUAGAAAACCAGACGCAGCUCUGCCGGCCGCUAAUCUGUGAGAAGAGCAAGCCGGUCCCCCUGAAGCCUCUUCACCCCCGGCUGGG
ensembl:lncRNA